AUUAUGUAGGAACUAGUUGUGAGGAAGCCUCGCCCCUAGAAAAUUAUAUACAUAAAACUUUGAUAAUGCGGGUGUCUUAGCUAUUGUUUUGAAAGAUAGUCGUUCGUUCUUGGGGAAGUCGUCUAGCGUCACCUAAGCUCUUUGCCGGCGGUCAUCUCCAAGCAAAAGACUCGAGUUUAAACGGCCUUUAAGAGCUGUUGUAUGACUCAAUUAAAUCCCACGUCUCAUCUCCUCGAUAUAACAUGUUGAACAGGGGGGAAUUGGUAUGUACGUACAAUGUGAAUUGAUGAAUAAGGAAAGCCAAGUUUGGCAACCAAAUUUCGUAUAAAA